GUCUAUAUACGUAUAGCAUAUCAAUAAGCGGAGGAAAAGAAACUAACUAGGAUUCCCUCAGUAACGGCGAGUGAAGCGGGAAGAGCUCAAAUUUGAAAUCUUCAAGGUUCUACCUUGACGAAUUGUAGUUUAAAGAAGUGUUUUCUGUUGGAAGUUUUGGUAAAAGUUCUUUGGAAAUAGGACAUCAAUAGAGGGUGAGAAUCCCGUAUUUGACCAUUAUUUCCAGCUUUGUGAUACACUUUCAAAGAGUCGGAUUGUUUGGGAAUGCAGUCCAAAAUGGGUGGUAAAUUUCAUCUAAAGCUAAAUACUGGCGAGAGACCGAUAGCGAACAAGUACCGUGAGGGAAAGAUGAAAAGAACUUUGAAAAGAGAGUUAAACAGUACGUGAAAUUGUCAAAAGGGAAGCGUUUGACACCAGUGUUGUUUUCUCGAAAAUCAAUUAAAAAUGGCUGGAUUUUGUGUUGUAUUGACCUUUAUCAAGCUUUCUUCACUUUUUUCCUGUCUUUUUUAAUGCACUUUUCGUUUAACAAGUCAACAUCAGUUUCUUUUGUUGUAAAAAGGGUCAUUGGAAGGUGGCUUUCUUUUCGGAGAAAGUGUUUAUAGCCUUUGACUUCUGCAAUCGGAGAGAUUGAGGUCUGCAGCGUAGAUCCUUCGGGGUUAGAUACAUUUGUGCUAAGCUAUAGCCUUUCAUAGACAACUUGUUGACUAUGAUCAGUCCAUGUAGCUUACUCGCUUAUGUUAUUUUACCUACGCUUAGGAUGUUGACGAUCAGCUGAGCGCG
rnacentral:rRNA from 1 species